rnacentral:rRNA from 1 species
UGGGGAAUAUUGCGCAAUGGGCGAAAGCCUGACGCAGCGACGCCGCGUGAGGGAUGAAGGUUUUCGGAUCGUAAACCUCUGUCAGAAGGGAAGAAACCGCACUGUGCUAAUCAGCAGUGCCUUGACGGUACCUUCAAAGGAAGCACCGGCUAACUCCGUGCCAGCAGCCGCGGUCAUACGGAGGGUGCACGCGUUAAUCGGAAUUACUGGGCGUAAAGCGCACGUAGGCUGCUUUGUAAGUCAGGGGUGAAAUCCCACGGCUCAACCGUGGAACUGCAUUUGUUACUGCUUAGCUUGAAUCCGGGAGAGGGUGGCGGAAUUCCAGGUGUAGGAGUGAAAUCCGUAGAUAUCUGUAGGAACAACAGUGGCGAAGGCGGCCACCUGAACCGGUAUUGACGCUGAGGUGCGAAAGCGUGGGGAGCAAACAGG